rnacentral:rRNA from 1 species
UACGUAGGGGGCAAGCGUUGUCCGGAAUCAUUGGGCGUAAAGCGCGUGUAGGCGGCUCGAUAAGUCUGCUGUGAAAGUCCAGGGCUCAACCCUGGGAUGCCGGUGGAUACUGUCGAGCUCGAGUCCGGAAGAGGCGAGUGGAAUUCCUGGUGUAGCGGUGAAAUGCGCAGAUAUCAGGAGGAACACCAAUGGCGAAGGCAGCUCGCUGGGACGUGACUGACGCUGAGGAGCGGAAAGCAUGGGGAGCGAACAGG